GGAGUUCUGCGGCGCAAGAGGAUCGAUUCUGACUGAGAUACACUCUCCUGAUGUUGACAGCUUGCUUUGGCAGUUACUUUUCUUUCUAUUGGGUAGUAUGGGAGUAAACGGAGAAGGGCUCUUCUGGACUGGUUUGCAAUACUCCAGCUCUCAAACAGCUUGGGUAUGGAAUGGAACCGGGAAAUCGUUGACAUCAUUCCAUCGUUUCAUGCCAUCAAUUCCGACCUACGCUGGUGGUAUGUGCAUGGGCAUUCCUUACGUCAAUCGGACGCUAAUUUGGAAAUGGACUUCAGUCAACUGUGACGACAAGAACAUCUUUGUCUGUCAGUACGAGUCUCCGGAGUUCUGGCUUUGACGACAGCGACAGCUUUUGAUUCCGUGCUGAAAAUCACAGCUGAACGACACCGAUCUUUUAACCCGCAUUAACAUCAGUGAAGAGAGCGUACACCAUCAACAUUUGCGUAGAGAGUGUACAACAUAAACUUUUGUGUAGAGAGUGUACACCAUUAACUUUUGUGUAAAAAGCGUACAACAUUAACCUUUGUGUAGAAUUAGUACAACAUCAAUAUUUGUGUAAAUAGCGUACAACAUUAUUAUUUGUGUAGAGAGCGUACAAUAUUAACGUUUGUGUAGAGAGCGUACAACAUUAACGUUUGUGUAGAGAUCGUACAACAUUGUUUGUGUAGAGAUCGUACAACAUUAACGUUUGUGUAGAGAAAGUACAACAUUAACAUUUAUGUAGAGAGCAUACACCAUUAACGUUUGUUUAGAGAGCGUACAACAUUAACGUUUAUGUAGAGAGCGCACAACAUUCACGUUUGUGAAGAGAGCGUACAACAUUAACGUUUGUGUAGAGAGCGUACAACAUUAACGUUUUGUAGAGAGUGUACACCAUUAACGUUUGUGUAGAGAGUGUACAACAUUAACGUUUGUGUAGAGAUCGUACAACAUUAACGUUUGUGUAGAGAGCGUACAACAUUAACGUUUGUGUAGAGAGCGUACAACAUUAACGUUUGUGUAGAGAUCGUACAACAUUAACGUUUAUGUAGAGAGCGUACAACAUUAACAUUUGUGUAGAGAGUGUACAACAUUAACGUUUAUGUAGAGAGCGUACAACAUUAACGUUUUGUAGAGAGCGUACAACAUUAACAUUUGUGUAGAGAGCGUGCAACAGUAACGUUUUGUAGAGAGCGUACAACAUUAAUGGUUGUGUAGAGAGCGUACAACAUUAACGUUUGUGUAGAGAGCGUACAACAUUAACGUUUUGUAGAGAGUGUACAACAGUAACGUUUGUGUAGAGAGCAUACAACAUUAACAUUUGUGUAGAGAUCGUACAACAUUAACAUUUAUGUAGAGAGUGUACAACAUUCACGUUGUGUAGAGAGUGUACAACAUUCACGUUGUGUAGUGAGUGUACAACAUUAACGUUUGUGUAGAGAGCGUUCAACAUUAACGUUUGUGUAGAGAGCGUACAACAUUAACGUUUUGUAGAGAGUGUACACCAUUAACGUUUGUGUAGAGAGUGUACAACAUUAACGUUUGUGUAGAGAUCGUACAACAUUAACGUUUGUGUAGAGAGCGUACAACAUUGACGUUUGUGUAGAGAGCGUACAACAUUAACGUUUGUGUAGAGAUCGUACAACAUUAACGUUUAUGUAGAGAGCGUACAACAUUAACAUUUGUGUAGAGAGUGUACAACAUUAACGUUUAUGUAGAGAGCGUACAACAUUAACGUUUUGUAGAGAGCGUACAACAUUAACAUUUGUGUAGAGAGCGUGCAACAGUAACGUUUUGUAGAGAGCGUACAACAUUAAUGGUUGUGUAGAGAGCGUACAACAUUAACGUUUGUGUAGAGAGCGUACAACAUUAACGUUUUGUAGAGAGUGUACAACAGUAACGUUUGUGUAGAGAGCAUACAACAUUAACAUUUGUGUAGAGAUCGUACAACAUUAACAUUUAUGUAGAGAGUGUACAACAUUCACGUUGUGUAGAGAGUGUACAACAUUCACGUUGUGUAGUGAGUGUACAACAUUAACGUUUGUGUAGAGAGCGUUCAACAUUAACGUUUGUGUAGAGAGCGUACAACAUUAGCGUUUGUGUAGAGAGCGUACAACAUUAACGUUUUUGUAGAGAGCGUACAACAUUAACGUUUGUGUAAAUAGCUUACAACAUUAUCAUUGAUGUAGAGAGCGUACAACAUUAACGUUUUUGUAGAGAGCGUACAACAUUAACAUUUGUGUAGAGAGCGUACAGUAUUAACGUACGUGUAGAGAGCGUGCAUCAUUAACGUUUGUGUAGAAUUAGUACAACAUUUACAAUUGUGAUUAAAGCGUAAAAGUUCCAACAUUUGUGUCGAAUUUGUACAACAUGAGCAUUCGUGUCUGGUGUU